CUGCCAGGGGCGAGGGGCUGGUGCUGCCGGGCUGAAUAAUGUUUCCAACAUGUCUGUGCAGACGCUGCUUUGUGAAAGAAUUGAUCUUGCCAAAGAAUUGAUCAAGAGAGCAGAAGCCCUUUCCAGGUCCCAGAAAAGGAGAAUAGAAGGUGGGGCAAAAUUGUGCAGCAAACUGAAGGCUGAGCUAAACUUCUUACCCAAGGUAGAAGCAGGGAAGGUGGCCAUUAAAGAAUCCCAUCUGCAAAGUACAAACCUUACCCAUCUCCAGGCUGUUAUUCAGUCAGCGGAGAACCUGGAGGAUGUUGUCAGUGUCCUCCAUGUCUUUGCUUAUGAGGACAGGUUUGGAGACAAGCAGACGCUCGUGGUGGAUGUUGUUGCAAACGGAGGUCACACAUGGGUGAAGGCCAUCGGCCGUAAGGCUGAGGCUCUGCAUAACAUCUGGCUGGGGAGAGGCCAGUAUGGUGACAAAAGCAUCAUUGAGCAGGCAGAGGACUUCUUGCAAGCAAGCCAUCAGCAGCCAGUGGAGUACUGCAAUCCCCACAUAAUCUUUGCCUUCUACAACAGUGUGUCCAGUCCUAUGGCAGAGCGGCUCAAGGAGAUGGGAAUAUCUGUGCGAGGAGACAUUGUAGCUGUGAACUCACUGGCAGAGCCAUCCACAGAAAACCAGCACCUUAGCACCAGUGAAUCGGAUGAAGAAGGCCCUGAACUCCUACAGGUGACCAGAGUAGACCGGGAGAAUUUAGUGGCCAGAGUUGCUUUUCCUACCCAGAUUAAAGUAAACAUGUGCAAUAGAGUUAACUUGGACAUCACUACCUUAAUAACCUACGUCUCUGCUCUGAGCUAUGGUGGCUGCAACUUCAUCUUCAAAGAGAAAGUGCUGACAGAGCAAGCAGCUCAGGAAAGGAGGGAGAGAGUCCUGCCUCAGCUGGAGGAGUUCAUGGAGGGGAAGGAGCUCUUUGCCUGUGAGUCUGCUGUCAGAGAUUUUCAGUCCAUCUUGGAAACGCUGGGAGGACCCGGGGAGAAAGAACGAGCUGCGAUGCUUGUGAAAAGAAUUCAAGUGGUGCGAGAUCAGCCAUCUGACCGUGCCUUAGGACUAGUGGCUAGUUCAAAAAUCAACAGCCGUUCUCUAACCAUUUUUGGGACAGGAGACAAUUUAAAAGCCAUCACCAUGACUGCAAAUAGGGGUUUUGUGAGGGCAGCAGCUAACCAAGGUGUCAGGUUCAGUGUUUUUGUCCAUCAGCCACGGGCAUUGACAGAAAGCAAGGAAUCUGUUGCCACACCUUUACCAAAGAGCUGCCCACCUGGUAAUGGACUAUAAGUCAUUGAAUGAGUCAUUGGAAUGCUGCAGGGGAGGCAUUUGGGGAAACAAGAAUCCUAGCAAUGCAUUUUUGGGUGUGCAUCAGUGAAAGCAGUGACUGUAGCAAUGGAAGGGCUCCUCAAGGAAUUUUCAGUAUCCUUACUCAGCCCUGGGGGGAUAUUUUGUUCAGCUGACCAUUAAUUUAUUCGCUAAGGAGAGAAUUGCAUUUUGAGAAGUCUUUCUAAUGUGUUUCUGUAUGCAGUAAUGACAGGAGUUGCUGUUUGGUAUGAAAUUGCAUCAGGUUCCUAGCAGAAAAUAUUGAGAUGCCAAAGUGAAUUCUUGGUCCCAAUCUAUACAUUUUAUCAGAUGUUCUACAUGACCUUGAGAGAGCUGGAUGGGGCUGAUUCUGCACUGGAAGUCAAUGGACUGUAUUCAACAAAGACAUGAGGACUGAAACUGCAUCUUUCCCGUGCCUCCUGUCUCUUCACUUGUAACAAGAGGCUAACAGUGUGCUCCUUCCUCCUUGGGGUGCAGCAAAGAUAAAUCACAUGGUAUUUGCAAUGAUUCUGCUAUCAGGAAGUGUGGGCUGCUUCUGCUUGAAUCUGUGGAGACUCCUAAGAGCGAAGUCUUUGCUCUGCUUGUGGAUUAGCCAGCAGAGGGCAACAUCACUCUCGCGCAUGAAAACUGCAUCCCCUGCUUGAGCCAAAACCUGCCAGACACAAGAGGAAUCUUUUCCUUAGCCUUUAUAGCUCUUUAUAAAUGCAGAUUUUUACUGUUUUUCAAUAUUAGCCUUGCAAUGAAACGGCAGUGUGUGAGCACUCCCAUGGCACUGUUAGCAGCUAGCCUUAGAAAAAAAGCUUCAAAACCUUCCAGUGCUGGGCAGAAACACAACAGUCAUUUUUAUUUUGUUAGUGGUUGAUACAGUGCUAAUAUCCAUAACAGCAGUGACUGUGUGGUGCUUUGAAUGCUGUAUGGCUUUGGUUAACUUUUAUCAUUCUUAUCUAUUUAUUUCAUAGUUGACCUAAGGGUGUUUGAGGUGCAUGUCCCAGGACCUGGAAAAGAAAGAGAUCAGGUGGAUCCUCACCUCAUGGAAGUCAAUGGCAGCAAUUUUCUUUUGUUUUCAUGGGAUCAGAACUGCACCUGAUCCUUCCCUUGAAGCCCAUAGCUGUCAAGGUCCUUCUGGACAGACCCAUAUUGUGGUGCUUAAGCUCUUGCCCUUGUCUUAUGGAUGGACCCUGGAACUGGCCGAUGACUUUGCCUCAUCUGAGGCUGUUGAUGGUAUUCAUUGCUAUGACCACCUGCCUCUGCCCCAUGGUCAGGCCCUGCAGGACUGCAUCCUGUCAGUGAAGGCAUAGCUUGUGCUGGGUCAUCUGUGGGUCAUGGCACAGCCCUGUGCCUGCUGCUCCCUGACACUGCUCCUGCAGAGACUGAAUUUAUGCCCUGUGAGAAAUCCCCAAGGAGAAAUUCAGAUCAAACCAUUUAGAGCGAUCGAAGUGAACAAGGGGGUUAUAAUAAAUCUUUGCAGGAUCCCAGGUCUCUAAUGCCAAAAUGUGCAAUCCUGGAAACAGAAACAGUUGUAUGCAGCUUAACUGAGUGGUAAUGCAGCUCUUACACCCACAGGAAGCUGGCCUGUUAGACGUCCAGAUCUACUAAAGAAAGGGCUAGUCCUCAGCCUUGUGCAGAGCAACUUAAAAUGUUAGCACUUGAACUCAAAAAGAAUAAGAAUUGAAACCAGAAAUAUCCAGACAAUCCCACUUCCCUUUAUAGUGCUUGGAAUUUAGGAAAUCAAGUGGAUUUUAAGCUAACUUCAUGAUUUAUUGCAGUUUAUUUCCUGAUGCUUGAAUGCCUGUGACUACCCAGACAUGGGAGAUGACAGGUAGUGAUAGUUUUUGUUCACUGUGAAGCAAAAGGGGCUAACUUCAGUGGGUUUUCUAUUGAGCUCUAUGUAUCCAAACAACGAAUGCAUAGAAACACUGGUAUUUAAAUUUGAAAUCCUGGUGGGGAAGCAGCCCUCCCCAGGGUACUUAUCUGUAGAUUAACAAUUUCUUCCCAUUUUAUAUUCUCUUCCUUUUUUUUUCCCCCCAUUUAUUCUUUAAGAAGUACAGUCCUCAGAAAGACUGGGAAUUUCUUUGAGAAGUUGUUAAUACCAGAUGCAAAUACACGUGUAAAAACUCA